rfam:Schistosoma haematobium scaffold270_3, whole genome shotgun sequence.
AUCUAGUUGAUGAGUCCGAAAUAGGAUGAAACGCGCAUCUUAGAU